rnacentral:rRNA from 1 species
ACCGUGUACGUACAAGCAGUGGGAGCACAGGUUUACCUGUGUGACUGCGUACCUUUUGUAUAAUGGGUCAGCGACUUAUAUUCUGUAGCAAGGUUAACCGUAUAGGGGAGCCGGAGGGAAACCGAGUCUUAAUUGGGCGUUAAGUUGCAGGGUAUAGACCCGAAACCCGGUGAUCUAGCCAUGGGCAGGUUGAAGGUUGGGUAACACUAACUGGAGGACCGAACCGACUAAUGUUGAAAAAUUAGCGGAUGACCUGUGGCUGGGGGUGAAAGGCCAAUCAAACCGGGAGAUAGCUGGUUCUCCCCGAAAGCUAUUUAGGUAGCGCCUCGUGAAUUCAUCUCCGGGGGUAGAGCACUGUUUCGGCUAGGGGGCCAUCCCGGCUUACCAACCCGAUGCAAACUGCGAAUACCGGAGAAUGUUAUCACGGGAGACACACGGCGGGUGCUAACGUCCGUCGUGAAGAGGGAAACAACCCAGACCGCCAGCUAAGGUCCCAAAGUCAUGGUUAAGUGGGAAACGAUGUGGGAAGGCCCAGACAGCCAGGAUGUUGGCUUAGAAGCAGCCAUCAUUUAAAGAAAGCGUAAUAGCUCACUGGUCGAGUCGGCCUGCGCGGAAGAUGUAACGGGGCUAAACCAUGCACCGAAGCUGCGGCAGCGACACUGUGUGUUGUUGGGUAGGGGAGCGUUCUGUAAGCCUGUGAAGGUGUGUCGUGAGGC